GUCUGAGGCCGCGCCGGCGCCGGAUGAUCGCCGACCGAUUCAUACUUGUAAUCCAUCAAAAUUCACUCAAAAAUUUUGAAAUUUUUCUUGAAAUUCACAAUGCCAAAACAGCAAAUCGUUACAUAUAUAGAGAGAUUGAGAGCAAAAAAGGUAGGGUUUUUUUCUGGGAGUGAUGAACAGUGAUUUUGGGAUUUGUGUUGAAAAAAUGAGACCUUUUUCUGACUCAAGUACAACACAUUAUAAAGCAGUCAGGUGAGUAGAAUGUGAGAAUUAACGGGUCGUUUGGUACGGUGUAUUAGAAAAAAUAGUUCAUGUUUUGUAUUGGGAUAAGACAUAAGUACCGUCAAAAUCAAAAUUUCAGAGAUGCAUCUUAACUAAAUUAAGAUCUUAUUAAAAAAGAAUCUAUAAUUUUUUUGUAAUUUGUACACACUUUUGACUUAUGUGGCAUCCAAACAUCUCUCACGUGCCUUAACUACGUGGAGUCAUGCAGUGUGCCACAUAAGCCAAAAGGGGUAUUUAAAAUCUUAGUUUAGUUAAGGUGUGUCUAUGAGAUUUCGAUUACUUGUGUCUUAUCCAUUUUAUAUUAAUAUUUAAACCACAUUUAAGAUUAUGUAAGAAACAAUACACCAAAUACUUGAUAAAAAAUAGUCUCUGCAUUACCAAUUUCUACAUUACUAAUUAUUGUGCUAUUAAUCUUUGUAACAAACGACCCCUUAAUGUGAUGUGAAUAAUUUACUUUCAAGUAAAUAUCAUUAGUAAUUGUUUCUUCUUCUUUUUUGUCGAUAAAUAACUUUGUUGUCUUUAUUUCGUAUUCUGUUUUAAAUGUUUAUACGAUACAAUGCAUCAUUUACCAUCUAAUUUUUUUUUAAAAAAAUGUGUUUGAAUAAAAAAGAUACAAAUUUAUUAAUGAAUCUUUUAUCGAUAAAAUAUUGUUGACAAUGUGUUGAAUUGACAGGCGUUGAUCUAGUCGGCAUUGAAGGUCCAAUUGUAUUAUAGGAAUUCGAAAAAAAAGAGUUCAGAAACUCUACGUGACAGGAAAAUAGAGAAUUUUGUUAGAUUAUGAGCUUGCACAUUUUAUAUUCGAAGAAUAUAUAAAAUAUUAAUAUCUUUAAAAGAAGAUAUCUAUAUUCAUAUAUCCUCGUAAAUGAUAUUUAUUUCUCAAAUAUCAGUAUCUUCUUUUGUAAUAUUUGUACCACAUUCUUUGCAUCUAAUAAUACAUGAAUUGUUAGCGAUUCAGUGAUUUACAAAUUGAAUAGGAGUGUUAGAAUAACCAUAGUCGUCAUUUCGAUGCUUGCAUUUUUCUUGUCCAUUUAUAAAUCUAUAUAUGUAAAAACAAUAAUUCUAUCUUAUGCCAUAUUAUUUCCAUCAUGAAUGUUGUUAGGUAUAUAUAUGUCAAGACAUGUAAUUUGCAAGACAUUGUCAUUAAACAUCAUUAGUUUAAGAGAGCUGGAGUAUUGAUAUGUAUAUCGAAAUUAAUUAUUUUAUCAUAUUUGUGAAUUUUUUUUUAUAUCUAAUUUCGAUCUGUUAAUAGGAGUCGAUUUUCACGCUAACAGAGCUUUGAGACAACUAAAAAAAAUACAUUUUUAAAUACAUUUUAUACCCUUCCCUAGGAGCUCUCACUUUUUUCGUCUCUUGGUGACACGAACUUACGAUCUUAAAAUCGAAAGUAUUCGAUGUUUACCAUCCGAACAACUCCCUCUUGUCUAACAGGUAAGACAUUAAGAAUGUAUUUUCUGAUAAAAUAAUUUUAUUUUCAUGAACCACAAAAUUUCUAAAAAGAUUUUGAAAACAAAUGACAAUUGGCUUGAGGCCAAUAAAUACUAGCAUCAAUAAAAUUAACAAAAUCAUUCGCUAAAUGAUAAUCAGAUCCCUCAUACUUAUCUGAAUUAGUAUAGUGUCAAAUAAUUUUAUCAGAAGUUUCAAUAAUAGAAAUUGAGAUGGACAAGAUUAAAUUAAUACCAUUAAAAUAAAUUAUUUAUGAAGUUCUUAAAUAUUCCAUAUAUGAUUGUGUUGAUCUAUUUGUAAUAAUAUGCAGUAGCUCGUAUCUUAAAUUUAAUCUACUACAUAUUGUGACUAUCAAUUUUGAGAUAUUUGAGGUAAAAUAGUCAAGUUGGAUAAUUUUGCUAGUUUUCACAAAUUUUGAUGGUAUAAACCUUAUUUAAAAAGAGUACAUUCAAAUUCUAAUAUUGUUUGCAAAAAGUAUGGUUAAACACAAUUUCAAUUUUAAUUUAUUUAUUUUUAAAAAUAAAGUGUCUUUUUGUGUUUUCAUGCACCCACUAAGUUAUUUUAACCCUCCAAAAAAGGGAAAUGCUUUUGAGUAUUGAUAGCAAAGCUCUUCUUGAUUGAAGGAUAAGGAUGAAGCUUUAGAAGCUCUAAAGAAAUUCAUGACAAAAUCUUAAAUGUCAAAUACAACGGACUUCAACUGCAGAUCCAACAAAGUAGUUUGAUUCAGUUUUUUAAGCGUUAGAUUUUUUCUCAUAAAUUUAUAUGCUUUUACUUGAAUAUUGUCGAUCUGAAGUUGUCAUUUUGAUUUGUUGUCUCAAGUAAAGACGUUAGAUUGAUUCUCAUAAAUCUAUAUGUUGUUGCUUCGAUCAAGACUUUAAAACAUUGCGUUCCUUAAAAUUCUUUAGAUUGUUCCUUCGAAUUUUUAAUAUUUUUACAUCUGUUUUCAGGUUUUUUUUUUCUAUUUUUACUUUCUCACUUUUAAAUAAUCAAUUCUAAAUUUGAGAUCUCCCUAACCUCAUUAUUAUACCUAUCAUAAAUAUUUUUUUCUAUUACUGGAGAGAAAUUAUAAGUCGUCAAAUUCUCUGAGAAAUUGAACUAGAAAUAAGAAAUUAAUAGAUUAGCUGAUUGUGGUAGAUUAAUAAAAUGUUAAUUACCAAAACAGACAUUAUUAAUUUUUAAUUUAAAAAUAUUCUUAAAUAAAUUAUAUUUAUAAAAUCUAUCCUUAUUGGUGUCAAUGGGGAUCAUGAGUUUCUUCAUAGAUGUUCACACUCAACAGUACUCUUUUCUAUCUUUACAUUUUUUCUUAAAAAGAAAAAGGGUUUUAUAAUUUGAAUUUUAUGUGAUCUUUUUAGAGGUUUUGAAGUCUUAAUAUGACAUUGUAUCCUUUGUUUUAUGAAACACAUGAAUUAACAAUUAAGAAAUACAAAAUUUUAUAAUUUGAUUUGCUUCAUGUGUUUAAGUUAUUGAAAUGAAAUAACUCACACUGAUGAAGCUAUCGAAGAUCAUGGAUAUAAAGAAAAUGAUGUCCUGAUCGAGAUACAAGUGAAAAGUAUGAAUUUUCAAACAUAUUAUUUGUGCAUUAUCAAUCUUAUUGCUAAUGCGCAACUUGUGUGUUUGACUAUUCAUAGUUUUCACUUAUAUCGCGAUCCUCAUGUCAAUGUCUUCAUGUCCAUAGUCGAUCAAAUUGUAAGAUAUUGUGUUUUUUAAAAUUUAAAAUUUAUGUGUUUGAUAUGUGGAUCGUCUGAUUUUGAGAUCCGUCUGAGUAAGUAACAAUUUACUACUCCAUUCUGUUCAUUUAUACUUGUCACUGUUUGACUUGGCACACUCAUUAAGAAAAUAAUUGAGUAAAUUACAUAACGAGUUUACAACGAUGAAGUGAGCUAAUGAAGAACACUUAGAGCUGGGGGUUGUCCAGUUUUACAUAUUUCACUUGAUAAAUAAAGAAAAAAUUACGCGAUAGAGCAAACUAAGUCCUAUUUACCUGAAACAGCGAUAGUUUUACAUAUUUCACUUGAUAAAUAAAGAAAAAAUUACACGAUAGAGCAAACUAAGUCCUUCUAUUUACCUGAAACAGUGAUAGUUUUACAAUAUUACGAUAUGUAGGAAUCACAAGAACCUGGAGAACGAAAUUGAAAAUUUGAAGAACAAGAGGUUCUUUUGUCUACUUAUCUUCUUAUCGCUCUUCGAUCAGUCACAGAAGCUUCGUUGAUGAAAAGGAAUCCCUCAAAUUCGCUCCUCAAAUGGCGCUAUGUCAAGUCUUGCAAUCUAAUUUCGUGCACCCAAUCUACUAGAGACUAAUAUCCCCUUCCCAUCUGUGACGAUGCAAUUCUUUCCUCUAAGGAUGUUACGUCACUCUGUUGCUUCAAGAACGGAAGUGUGGGAGAAGAAAAGGAAGAUGAUCCUUCUCCACUCUGCUUUGCUAGUUGUAUUUCCAUCAUGAGCUCUCUUCUUACGUCAAACUCCACCAUGCGUCUACGAGCAAUCUCUUCUGCAAUAAUCUUCUCUCUAAUACGCUCCUUCUCAAUCUCUCUCAUAAUUGCCUCACGCAUAUUGGCAGGUUUGUUUUCAAAAUGAGGCGGAUCUACAUAGCCAGCUGAAAGUUGUGAUAAACAUAAUAAAGAGCAACAAUGAGAUUAACCACAAUAGUUUCCAAAUGUACUUAACAGAGGCCAACACGGAACACAAACAAAACCCCCAAAAUUCUUUCGAUCACUACAGAAUUGUUCAUCAAACAGAGAAAUAAAAAGAGCAAGAAUCCUAGCUCUGCCUCGGAAUUCUCUCAUUGCAUUUUCAACAUUAGAUUUCCUGAAUCCCACACAUUUAGUGAUUUUCCUGAAAAAUCACCCUCUUUACUCAAUAACAAUUGCCACUUCAAUAUAACAAAGCACACGACAACACUAACACUACUCUCCACCUCCUCAAUUAACUACAUUCUCAUUGAGAUUAACCCCAACGUCUCCUAAUGCACUUCACAGAGGCCAACUCAAAACACAAAUAAAACCGAAAAUCCCUUCUAUCGCUACAGAAUUGUCAAUUGAACAGAAAAAUAAUGCUAACAUACACUAUUCUCCAUCCACUCAAUAAACUACAUUAUUUCCAAAAAGCUAGUUUCUAACAACAUUGGCCUACCUAGAUGGAUUUUUGUUCUACGGUUAGUUGCUCUAGGAAGGCUCAACACAAGGAACAGGCUGUUUAAAUGGGGGUGACUACAAAUCAGAUGUGUUCACUUUGUGAGGUGGAGAAUGAUACCAUACAUCGUCUGUUUUUCGCAUGUAAUGUGCCUUACCAGGUGUGGCAGAAGUUGUUGUUAUGGAGUGAUAUCAGGAGAACAUCCGUGAAAUGAGCUGAACAACAUGCUAAAGAAAGAGGUCCAAAUGCUGAAAUGUAUAGAAUGAUGCUAGCUGCUACUGUCUUUUUUCACGAUAUUUCAGAACAAGAAGCAGACUACGACUAGAUUGAUAAAGCAAGUGAUCAAAGCAAGGAGAGUUUCCAAAAGCUCAAUACUUGGCUUGAAGAACACAGUUUCUAUCCUGCAGCUUGAUACAACUUUGUUAAGAAAUAUCGGUCAAAAGACACACGUAAAGUAUCAUUUUUUUGUGAGAUUUACACCCCAACCAUCAAUAGUUUCCUCUUCCUACUUAAACUAUCACCAUCUAUGUAUUAAAAACACACCUCAACUACUCUCCGCCUCCACAAUUAACUACAUUCUCAUCGACAUAAACAACAUCUCCCGACUGUACUCCACAAACAAAGCCCAAAAAUCCCUUCCAUUAAUACAAAAUUGUCCAUUGAACAGAAAAACUACUCUACGCCUCCUCAAUUAACUACAUCCUCAUCGAGAUUAACCACAUCGUCUCCUGAAUGUACUCCACAUAAGCUAAACACAAAAUCCCUUCUAUCUCUAUAGGAUUGCCCCAUUGAGCAGAAAAAUUAAUGCUAAUAGUACUCUCCACCUCGUCAAUCAAAUACAUUCUCAUCCAGAUUAACCACAAAUGUUUCUGAAUAUACUUCACACAAACUAAUACAAAACACAAAUUCUGGAUUGUCGGAUUAAACACAAAAAGAAUGGUAAAACUACUCUCCACCACCUCAAUCAGUUACAUUCUCACGCAGAUUAACCACAAACCUUUCCGAUAUACUUCACAUAGACAAACCCAAAACCCAAAAUCCUUUCUUUCGUACAAAUCAUUCAUCCACAGAAAAAAUAUAUAUAAAAAAGCGAAAAUUCAGAGAAAAGGAAGAAACCUCGAAUAGCUUGUUGAGAGAAGUAAGUGAGAGACGGAAGUUGUGUAUAACUCAUCGGAGGCUGAGGAUGCUGUGCAUAGCUCGUCAUCGUCUGAGGUCGCGCCGGCGCCGGAUGAUCGCCGACCGAUUCAUACUUGUAAUCCAUCAAAAUUCACUCAAAAAUUUUGAAAUUUUUCUUGAAAUUCACAAUGCCAAAACAGCAAAUCGUUACAUAUAUAGAGAGAUUGAGAGCAAAAAAGGUAGGGUUUUUUUCUGGGCGUGAUGAACAAACAGUGAUUUUGGGAAUUUGUGUUGA
rnacentral:lncRNA from 1 species